CAGGAAUUCUUAUGAAACAAGACAAUCAAUCAAGGCUAAGGUGGCUUUUCUGCAAUGCCCAUGUGAGAAGCUUCAUGAAUGUUCUUCUUACUUCUACAAGCAUAACUGUUCAGCUCCCUGCUUAUGGCCUGUGGAAGCAGAGGAGGAUGGACCCUGAACCUGCGAUGAGAGAUCUGGAAGAGGCUUCUGGCUUUAGAUGCUUAGCUGUGGCAGUUGUGGAGCUAAGCAUAAAUCUGCACAUGCAAGAAUUUCAAAUAUCAAUAAGUUCCAAUUGAAGAGCGGAUUCUUUUGCAAUUCAGGCAUGUGCCGGCGAUAACGGGCGAGUUGGCAUGAAGAGAGGCAGAGAUGGAUUAAUUAUGCAGAGAACAUGGAAAUUCUGCUUAUCAUCGGCUAGCAAAGGAGCCAGGCUCACACAA